rnacentral:ncRNA from 2 species
CUAAAAGGAAUAGAACAGUCGGUUCCCGAUUAGUGGAAUGCAGACGGGCCUUUGAAGGCAGCGGGUUUCGGCCCUGUGGGACUUAA